rnacentral:lncRNA from 1 species
AUUCCAUCUCCCUGAGGAACCAUAACAAAAUGACUGCUGCCAUCAGUGUUGCUUGUAGACAGAUCCUGGGAUUGAAGAGGCAGUCUCUUCACUUCAUGCUAGUCCUCAUCUUCCCUGUCCUUCAAUGGUGGAGAUGUAAAUUGUCCAACUGGCCAUCCAAAAGAUGAAUAGCAGCUGUCAUUCUUUCCAUGGUGCCCAUUCAGAAUAUACUGGACUUUUCCUGAAGAAGAAGGGUACAAAGAUCACAGGAUAAGAACACGCUCAAACUUUCCUGAGAAACUCAGAUGCUUCAGGAGCACAGUGCUGAUAAGGGAGAUUAUCUCUGGGAGAAGUGAAAGACAACCUACAGCCCCUCAUACAGGUUUUGUCCCCACGUCGAACUGAAAGGAGCUAAAAAAUAAUUAACAUUAUUAAAUAUUUGAGCAAGUUAUAACCUGCAUCAAAAUAAUGAACCCGUCAGCUGUUUUCUCCCCCAGGAGGGCUAGCUGGUGCCAAUGCUUCCCAGUUCUCCUGCCACUGCUUUGGGAUGGCUUCUGGGACAGUCGCCUAGGGGUGCUGGACCUCAGGAUUCCCCCUUGCUCAGGUGGUCGGUUCCUGUUCUGCUACAAGCUAGCUGGACUGUCAGACCUGCUCCAGGAGGAUGGCCCAUCCAUCACACAGGAACACCACAUUUCCUAGGAGAGCCUUAGCAACACCGAUGAAACUGA